rnacentral:rRNA from 1 species
GAGGGCAAGUCUGGUGCCAGCAGCCGCGGUAAUUCCAGCCCCAAUAGCGUAUAUUAAAAUUGUUGCAGUUAAAAAGCUCGUAGUUGAAUUUCAGCUGCUCCGCACUUUCUUCCCGUUAUGGAGGUUGUGCGCCGUGGCUUAUUUCGGACUGUGUUAUGCACUGUCCGGAUGUUUACUUUGAGAAAAUUAGAGUGCUCAAAGCAGGCUUUUGCCUUGAAUAGUUUAGCAUGGAAUAAUAAAGUAGGACUUUGGUUCUAUUUUGUUGGUUUUAGGUACCAAAGUAAUGGUUAAUAGGAACAGUUGGGGGCAUUCGUAUUUAACUGUCAGAGGUGAAAUUCUUAGAUUUGUUAAAGACGAACUACUGCGAAAGCAUUUGCCAAGGAUGUUUUCAUUAAUCAAGAACGAAAGUUAGGGGAUCGAAGACGAUCAGAUACCGUCGUAGUCCUAACCAUAAACUAUGCCGACUAGAGAUUGGAGGUCGUCAGUUUUUACGACUCCUUCAGCACCCUGAGAG